AGGCAAAUUUGAAUAUCUAAUUGUCCUCUCCCCAUAGAGAUUAUUCUCCCAUUGUUUGCCUUAGAGGUCAUGAAGUAUAUUUUCAUUAAUAAGAUGUAAAAUAGUGGCCUCUCCUUCUAGAAAAUCUCAGAAAAAGGAGGCGAAGAGAAUCUGAGCUCUUCUGCCUACUGAAGAGACACUGGCAUGUCAGGACAUGGUAUGUGACCUUCAAAGAGUAGAGAAGGUCUUGGAGUUGAUAGAUGCAGCCUGGGUCACCGGGAUUGAACCUUUCACAGAGCAUAAUCCAGAUGAGCAGGUAACUCACCUGAGGCCAACACACCUGUGCUGUUCCUAAACCACAGUCUGGAGAGCCCUGAAAUCCACAUUGAGACAUCCUACCACCCUGCCCAAGACAAAAUGUUCCAGAUUUCUCAAGGGAAGAGAGACCAUUCAGAAACAGAGAUGAAUCUCUCUAAUGAGAAGACAAAUAGUAGUUAGAACGCUGGCUUUCUUCCCCAAGUGAGGGCAAUAAGGGUGGCUGUGAAAGAACCUCUCAUCCAGGAAAUCUCAAAACACUGUUGCCAGCCAAUCUGAUUACACUCAUUUUUCUGAUGGAGGAGAGUGUCUUUUCUGGGAGUGAAGUCAAU
rnacentral:lncRNA from 1 species